rnacentral:rRNA from 1 species
CCGUGUGUACCGGUCCAACCCAAACCAGUCUCAUCUUCCUCCUCUGUUUCCCCCGCCACCACACACAGGCAGGGAGGUGCGGACGCGCGUGUCCACUACUUCCGGCGACCGGCCACCGGAGUGCGCCGCCGUCCCCCGCCCCUCUCCCGCAGAGGUCUACGAUUUCUCCCCCGACUUGUGGCGCCCCAUGGGGACCUGCAGGUUUACAUGAAAAGGGAGAAUGCCGACAGCUGGAAUUCUGGGCUGGAAAAGGAGAAAAUGUUAGAGACCUAUUCUGCACAACUCCAAAAGUUUUGAAACUGCACGGAGGCCCUUUUUGGAAUUAAUAAAAAAUACUAGCGAAAGAAUCAACCAGAGGGGUCCCACACCCUGGCCACGAGGGUGGGGGCGCGCUCUACCCCCCUGGGUGCGCCCCCUGCCUUGUGGGCCACCUGGCAGGCCUCCGAUGCCCAUCUUUUGCUAUAUGAAGUCUUUUGCCCUGGAAAAAAAAUAAGAAGGAAGCUUUUGGGACGAAGCGCCGCCGUCUCAAGGCGAAACCUUGGCGGAACCAAUCUAGGGCUCCGGUGGAGCUGUUCUGCCUGAGAAACAUCCCUCCGGAGGGGGAAAUCGCCACCAUCGUCAUCACCAUCGAUCCUCUCAUCGGGAGGGGGUCAAUCUCCAUCAACAUCUUCACCAGCACCAUCUCCUCUCAAACCCUAGUUCAUCUCUUGUAUCCGAUCUUUGUCUCAAAACCUCAGAUUGGUACCUGUGGGUUGCUAGUAGUGUUGAUUACUCCUUGUAGUUGAUGCUAGUCGGUUUAUUCGGUGGAAGAUCAUAUGUUCAGAUCCUUUAUGCAUAUUAAUACCCCUCUGGUUAUGAACAUGAAUAUGAUUUGUGAGUAGUUACAUUUGUUUCUGAGGACAUGGGAGAAGUCUUGUUAUAAGUAGUCAUGUG